rfam:Brassica rapa chromosome A2, whole genome shotgun sequence.
GGAAUAUAAGAAUCUCUCUCUUAACUUUUAACUAAAAAAACUAAAAAUCGGUUAUUAAAUAUUAAAAACCGGUUUUUAGCUUUUUUAGUUAAAAGUUAAGAGACAAAUUCUUAUAUUCC